UACGUAGGGUGCAAGCGUUAAUCGGAAUUACUGGGCGUAAAGCGUGCGCAGGCGGUGAUGUAAGACAGAUGUGAAAUCCCCGGGCUCAACCUGGGAACUGCAUUUGUGACUGCAUCGCUGGAGUGCGGCAGAGGGGGAUGGAAUUCCACGUGUAGCAGUGAAAUGCGUAGAGAUGUGGAGGAACACCGAUGGCGAAGGCAGCCUUCUGGGCCAACACUGACGCUCAUGCACGAAGCGUGGGGAGCAAACGGGA
rnacentral:rRNA from 1 species